UGGGGAAUAUUGGACAAUGGGCGCAAGCCUGAUCCAGCCAUGCCGCGUGGAUGAUGAAGGCCCUAGGGUUGUAAAGUCCUUUCGACGGGGAAGAUAAUGACGGUACCCGUAGAAGAAGCCCCGGCUAACUUCGUGCCAGCAGCCGCGGUAAUACGAAGGGGGCUAGCGUUGCUCGGAAUCACUGGGCGUAAAGGGCGCGUAGGCGGCAAUUCAAGUCAUCUGUGAAAUCUCCGGGCUUAACUCGGAACGGUCAGAUGAUACUGCUUUGCUAGAGUGCAGAAGGGGCAAUCGGAAUUCUUGGUGUAGCGGUGAAAUGCGUAGAUAUCAAGAGGAACACCUGAGGUGAAGACGGGUUGCUGGGCUGACACUGACGCUGAGGCGCGAAAGCCAGGGGAGCAAACGGGAUUAGAUACCCAAGUAGUCCCUGAGCGGGCUGGCAAGGCGCAU
rnacentral:rRNA from 1 species